CCUACGGGAGCCUGCAGUGAGGAAUAUUGGUCAAUGGACGAGAGUCUGAACCAGCCAAGUAGCGUGAAGGAUGACUGCCCUAUGGGUUGUAAACUUCUUUUAUAUGGGAAUAAAAUGUUCCACGUGUGGGAUUUUGUAUGUACCUUAUGAAUAAGGAUCGGCUAACUCCGUGCCAGCAGCCGCGGUAAUACGGAGGAUCCGAGCGUUAUCCGGAUUUAUUGGGUUUAAAGGGAGCGUAGGUGGAUUGUUAAGUCAGUUGUGAAAGUUUGCGGCUCAACCGUAAAAUUGCAGUUGAUACUGGCAGUCUUGAGUACAGUAGAGGUGGGCGGAAUUCGUGGUGUAGCGGUGAAAUGCUUAGAUAUCACGAAGAACUCCGAUUGCGAAGGCAGUUCACUGGACUGUAACUGACAUUGAGGCUCGAAAGUGUGGGUAUCAAACAGGAUUAGAUACCCUUGUAGUC
rnacentral:rRNA from 1 species